rnacentral:rRNA from 1 species
AGAGUUUGAUCAUGGCUCAGAACGAACGCUGGCGGCGUGCCUAACACAUGCAAGUCGAACGAGAAAGGGACUUCGGUCCUGAGUAGAGUGGCGCACGGGUGAGUAACACGUGGAUAACCUGCCCUGAAGUCUGGGAUAACAUUUCGAAAGGGAUGCUAAUACCGGAUAAGCCUACGACCUCUUCGGGGGAUGUAGGAAAAGAUUUAUUGCUUCAGGAUGGGUCCGCGGUCCAUUAGCUAGUUGGUAGGGUAAUGGCCUACCAAGGCUUCGAUGGAUAGCUGGUCUGAGAGGAUGAUCAGCCACACUGGAACUGAGACACGGUCCAGACUCCUACGGGAGGCAGCAGUGGGGAAUUUUGCGCAAUGGACGAAAGUCUGACGCAGCAACGCCGCGUGAAGGAUGAAGGCCCUUGGGUCGUAAACUUCUGUCAGUGGGGAAGAAAUGCCCGCAAGGGAGCUGACGGUACCCACAAAGGAAGCACCGGCUAACUCCGUGCCAGCAGCCGCGGUAAUACGUAGGGGCCAAACGUUGUCCGGAUUUAUUGGGCGUAAAGGGCUCGUAGGCGGUUCAACAAGUCGAUCGUGAAAUGCCGGGGCUCAACCCCGGAACGCCGGUCGAAACUGUUGUGACUAGGGUCCGGCAGAGGUAAGUGGAAUUCUCGGUGUACGGUGGAAUGCGCAGAUAUCGAGAGGAACACCAGUUGCGAAGGCGGCUCACUGGGCCGGUACCGACGCUAAGGAGCGAAAGCAUUGGGGAGCAAACAGGAUUAGAUACCCUGGUAGUCCAUGCCGUAAACUGUGAACACUAGGUGUGGCGGAUCUAUUGAUGUCUGCCGUACCGUAGCUAACGCGUUAAGUGUUCCGCCUGGGGAGUACGGCCGCAAGGCUAAAACUCAAAGGAAUUGACGG